UUAGUAACGGCGAGUGAAGCGGCAACAGCUCAAAUUUGAAAUCUGGGCCUUUCAGGUCCCGAGUUGUAAUUUGUAGAGGAUGCUUCGGCUUACGCCCCGGUCUAAGUCCCUUGGAACAGGGCGUCACAGAGGGUGAGAACCCCGUACGUGGCCGGCGGCUUCCGCCAUGUGAAGCUCCUUCGACGAGUCGAGUUGUUUGGGAAUGCAGCUCAAAAUGGGAGGUAAAUUUCUCCUAAAGCUAAAUACUGGCCAGAGACCGAUAGCGCACAAGUAGAGUGAUCGAAAGAUGAAAAGCACUUUGGAAAGAGAGUUAAAAAGUACGUGAAAUUGUUGAAAGGGAAGCGCUUGCGACCAGACUUGUCCGCGGUGGCUCCGCCGGUCCUUCGGCCGGUGUACUCCUCCGCGGGCAGGCCAGCAUCAGUUCGGGCGGCCGGAUAAAGGCCGUGGGAAAGUAGCUCCCCUCGGGGAGUGUUAUAGCCCGCGGUGCAAUGCGGCCCGCCUGGACUGAGGAACGCGCUUCGGCCAGGAUGCUGGCGUAAUGGUCGUAAGCGGCCCGUCUUGAAACACGGACCAAGGAGUCUAACAUCUAUGCGAGUGUUUGGGUGUCAAACCCGUGCGCGAAAUGAAAGUGAACGGAGGUGGGAGCCCUCGGGUGCACCAUCGACCGAUCCUGAUGUCUUCGGAUGGAUUUGAGUAAGAGCAUAGCUGUUGGGACCCGAAAGAUGGUGAACUAUGCCUGAAUAGGGUGAAGCCAGAGGAAACUCUGGUGGAGGCUCGCAGCGGUUCUGACGUGCAAAUCGAUCGUCAAAUUUGGGUAUAG
rnacentral:rRNA from 1 species